GUGCUCACUUUGGCAUCACAUAUACUAAAAUUGAUUGAUACAGAGAAGAUUAAUUAGUAUGGCCCAAAGAUGACUUGCAAAUUUGUGAAGCAUUCCAUAUUUUU
ensembl:snRNA U6 U6 spliceosomal RNA